GCGCGCGGUACGGCCCGCCUGUGGCCGCCCCCAGCGCCGGCCCCGGAGCUGGGGCCAACCCCCACAGCGCGGCAGCAGCGACCGCGGCGGCAGUAGCGGCCUCCGUCGCUAGAACGAUCCUAGAGGAUCACGGUUUCGGGAGGAGUUUCGACCUGGCUCCCAGACUGCCCAACCCUGCCGGCCGCACCCUGUGGACCAACCAGAGGGACUUGAGCUCCUACUCGCCGCCUCCGCCCGCACAGGACCAGUGGGAAGGGCGAGGGGCGGCAUCGUGGCGUCGCUGACUCCAUCGAACUGCCGUACUACCACCUGCCAGCUGUCGUGUCAGCCGUCACCGAUUAGGUCCUGGAACAUUCGGAGUAGAGUGCCUUGUUACUGGACGAGUUUCAUAAAACCAGAGCGCCAUUCACUUGGUAUACCUAAAAAUAAGAAGAAAGUGACAUGUAAUCCUUGAUACCAACUUUGAAAAAUAUUGCAAACCCGGUCUAAUCUGAA